UCUUCAUUUCACGCACUCUCUCACCGGUCAGAGAGGCGAGAGAGUGUGUGAAAUGAAGAGA
rfam:Pristionchus pacificus strain PS312 contig4028, whole genome shotgun sequence.